GACGAACGCUGGCGGCGUGCUUAACACAUGCAAGUCGAACGGAGUGGCGAACGGGUGAGUAACACGUUGGUGAUCUGCCUUGCACUCUGGGAUAAGCUUGGGCAACUGGGUCUAAUACCGUAUCGUGCAAGAUGAGCUCGCGGCCUUUCAGCUUGUUGGUGGGGUAAUGGCCUACCAAGGCGUCGACGGGUAGCCGGCCUGAGAGGGUGUACGGCCACAUUGGGACUGAGAUACGGCCCAGACUCCUACGGGGGGCAGAAGGGGGGAAUGGUGCACAAUGGGCGGAAGCCUGAUGCAGCGGCGCCGCGUGGGGGAUGACAGCAUUCGGGUUGUAAACUCCUUUCGACAGGGACGCGGUACCUGUAUAAGAAGCACCGGCUAACUACGUGCCAGCAGCCGCGGUAAUUC
rnacentral:rRNA from 1 species